GGUCAUUUAGAGGAAGUAAAAGUCGUAACAAGGUUUCCGUAGGUGAACCUGCGGAAGGAUCAUUACCGAGUGAGGGCCCUUUGGGUCCAACCUCCCACCCGUGUUUAUUUACCUCGUUGCUUCGGCGGGCCCGCCUUAACUGGCCGCCGGGGGGCUCACGCCCCCGGGCCCGCGCCCGCCGAAGACACCCCCGAACUCUGCCUGAAGAUUGUCGUCUGAGUGAAAAUAUAAAUUAUUUAAAACUUUCAACAACGGAUCUCUUGGUUCCGGCAUCGAUGAAGAACGCAGCGAAAUGCGAUACGUAAUGUGAAUUGCAAAUUCAGUGAAUCAUCGAGUCUUUGAACGCACAUUGCGCCCCCUGGUAUUCCGGGGGGCAUGCCUGUCCGAGCGUCAUUGCUGCCCUCAAGCCCGGCUUGUGUGUUGGGCCCCGUCCUCCGAUUCCGGGGGACGGGCCCGAAAGGCAGCGGCGGCACCGCGUCCGGUCCUCGAGCGUAUGGGGCUUUGUCACCCGCUCUGUAGGCCCGGCCGACGCUUGCCGAUCAACCCAAAUUUUUAUCCAGGUUGACCUCGGAUCAGGUAGGGAUACCCGCUGAACUUAAGCAUAUCAAUAAGCGGAGGA
rnacentral:rRNA from 1 species